rnacentral:rRNA from 1 species
AUGCUGGCGAGCGACGGUGCCGCCGGCGCUGUUGUUGUGCCUGGAGGCGGGCCGGGCGGGACGGCGCACAGCGUGUCGGUGUCGUCCACGUCGAGCGAGGCCGGUGUCGGCGGCGGCGCCGGCGCGGUGGAGGACGAGGCCGGGAAGUGCAAGCAGGAGGAGGGCGAAGGCGACGACGAGAGCAAGGAGGCGGCGGCCGAUGGAGAGGCGGACAAGACCAAGAAAGGGGCGGCGAAGGGGAAAGGGGCCGCCAAGGUCAAGGGGGAGAAGCGGCCGCGGCAGGCGCGGUUCGCGUUCAUGACCAAGAGCGAGGUUGACCAUCUGGAGGAUGGAUACCGCUGGCGCAAGUACGGCCAGAAGGCCGUCAAGAACAGCCCCUUCCCAAGGUGCAGGAGCUACUACCGGUGCACGACGCAGAAGUGCCCGGUGAAGAAGCGGGUGGAGCGGUCGUUCCAGGACGCCGCCGUGGUGAUCACCACCUACGAGGGCAAGCACACCCACCCCAUCCCGGCCACGCUCCGCGGCGCCAACCACCUGCUCGCCGCGCACGCCCACGCGCACGGCGGCCACGGGCUCAUCCACCCCGGCAUGUUCCGGAUGCCGGCGCCGCCCGGCGCCUUCCGUCCCGGCGACGCGCUCGGCAGCUUCCUGCAGCAGCAGCACGCGGCCAUGCAGCACCAGCAGCAAGUCGCCGCGGCGGGGAUGGCGAUGCGGCAGGCGAACGCCAUGGCGAGCAGCCACAUGCAGGCGCCUCCUGCUGAUCGUGGCCUGGCCACCGCCAUGACCGGUGGUACCACGGGGAACAAUACCCACACUGUCAGCAGCAGUAGUGGUGCCGAUCCGCUGCGGAUGGAGCACCUGAUGGCGCAGGACUACGGCCUGCUCCAGGACAUGCUCAUGCCGCCGUCCUUCGCCCACAGCGACAACAGCAAUAACAACCCCCACAACCGCCAUUGA